rnacentral:rRNA from 1 species
CUGGAGGUAUCAGAAGUGCGAAUGCUGACAUAAGUAACGAUAAAGCGGGUGAAAAGCCCGCUCGCCGGAAGACCAAGGGUUCCUGUCCAACGUUAAUCGGGGCAGGGUGAGUCGACCCCUAAGGCGAGGCCGAAAGGCGUAGUCGAUGGGAAACGGGUUAAUAUUCCCGUACUUGGUGUUACUGCGAAGGGGGGACGGAGAAGGCUAUGUUGGCCGGGCGACGGUUGUCCCGGUUUAAGCGUGUAGGUGUGUGUUCCAGGUAAAUCCGGUUCACUUUAACACUGAGGCGUGAUGACGAGGCACUACGGUGCUGAAGCAACAAAUGCCCUGCUUCCAGGAAAAGCCUCUAAGCAUCAGGUAACAUCAAAUCGUACCCCAAACCGACACAGGUGGUCAGGUAGAGAAUACCAAGGCGCUUGAGAGAACUCGGGUGAAGGAACUAGGCAAAAUGGUGCCGUAACUUCGGGAGAAGGC